AGUGAACGCUGGCGGUAGGCCUAACACAUGCAAGUCGAACGGCAGCACAGUAAGAGCUUGCUCUUACGGGUGGCGAGUGGCGGACGGGUGAGGAAUACAUCGGAAUCUACUUUUUCGUGGGGGAUAACGUAGGGAAACUUACGCUAAUACCGCAUACGACCUACGGGUGAAAGCAGGUGAUCUUCGGACCUUGCGCGAUUGAAUGAGCCGAUGUCGGAUUAGCUAGUUGGCGGGGUAAAGGCCCACCAAGGCGACGAUCCGUAGCUGGUCUGAGAGGAUGAUCAGCCACACUGGAACUGAGACACGGUCCAGACUCCUACGGGAGGCAGCAGUGGGGAAUAUUGGACAAUGGGCGCAAGCCCGAUCCAGCCAUACCGCGUGGGUGAAGAAGGCCUUCGGGUUGUAAAGCCCUUUUGUUGGGAAAGAAAAGCAGCAGGUUAAUACCCCGCUGUUCUGACGGUACCCAAAGAAUAAGCACCGGCUAACUUCGUG
rnacentral:rRNA from 1 species